rnacentral:hammerhead_ribozyme from 1 species
AUGCAGCUGAGGAGUCCCAAAUACGACUAAACGCGCGUGCUGGAU